UGGAAAUGCUUAAUGCUGACUUAUUUCAGAGCUCACCCCGUGCUGCAGCGUGCGAGUAGAGGAGGGCGAGCGUGCACAACUGCCCCUCUAUGGGAUGAUUCUCCUUUCCUUCCUCUUUCUACGUCUUUCUUUUUUUUUUCCUUUCUUUUCUCUUUUUUCCCUAUUUAUUUGUUCAUUUCUGGUUGGUGUUUUAAAGCCCCCCUUCAUAUCUCAGGACGGCUCUAUCUCAGGGAGUUGGGGCUGUGCUAUUGUCCACAGCCCGAGUUGCUGUACAAGGAGAAGCUGCAUUGCAUUCAUGUAUUCGUGCACGUUCCGCUCCUCCCAUGAUAUGGGGAUUCACUCCACAGGUGCUGCAUGGAGCAAAUCCCCCAAUUCCAGUCCUGCAGUGCAAGUUCUGGGGGGAUACUCUCCAUAUUUAAGGCUGCUGGUACAGCAAAUGGCAUCUUGGUUUUCCCUUAAUUGUCUGCCCACCCAACCCAUUCUCACUGAAGUCCCAAACCCUUCUCAGCUCUCUGUGUUGCUUUCCAGCUCCCACAUGGUUGGAGGCACUGGCAGGAGGAGCUGUAGCCCACGGCCAGGUGAGGGCAGCUGA
rnacentral:lncRNA from 1 species